ensembl:lncRNA
GUCUUUGCCUGGGUGAUCUUCUUUGCCGGAAUUUCCUCCUCCCUUCCCCAGAAAUCAUUCAUGUGAUGUUCUGUGAAGGAACCUCCGAGACUCACACGCACUUUGGGUGUUGCUGGGUUAAUGUUUGUCUAUGGGGACAGGGGUCAGCAAAUCCUCACUUUUUACUGGACUAAUUUGCCACUUGCAACCGUCUUCUUCGUUCUCUAAAUGGAACUACCCGUUAGGGGAUGAAGUCACCGCAUGUUCCAGUGAGACGAGUCUCCAGGAUUUUCUCGGCAACUUCGGUGGCAGUGUCAGGAGCCGUGAUCUCCAGAUUCUGGGCCAUUCUCACGCCUGGAAGAGGGAGAGCUGGGAGAGCAUCCAGAAAUUUGCUCCAGGCAUCUUGUUCCAUCCACAUCAGGAAGCUGGCUGCACAAGCCCGGGUUUGGCGCGCUCACGGAGCUCUGCUCGGCGAUGCUUUCAUCAGGCCGCGUCUCAGAAAGCACUUGCUCAUUUAGAUGAAGGGCAUCUGGCACGUGCUCAAUUUAGCUAA